CUCGAGUUUCCUUCUCUGCGCUCUCUCCGUGCUCUCUCUCUACAGACAAUUAAGCUCUGCUCUCUGUGUUCUCUCGGUCUCCCUCUGUGCUCGUAAGGGUUUUGAUAUCCUCCUGCGAUUGAAGUACGGGCGAACUCUCUCUCCGUUCUUUCGGUUAGGCAGGUCUGUGCUGGUUAGGGUUUCGUGCGAUUGUGGGAUUGUCGGCUGGAGCUCAUCAGAUCAAGAUUAUCACUGUUAGGAUGGCAUGAAGCACCAAUUCUUGGCAUUAGCAGUUAUCAGUCAUUUGCUGUCGCGUUUCUCCAAGACAAAAGACAUUGGUAACGAGGUUAGUAAAAAAAGGAACUGGAAAAACCACCUAAGCAAUUGGCGAUGGUGCAAGUGAUGUUGGGAUGAUACAAGAAGCUGAUAUUGGAGUUGGCCAAAACCCCACCUUAGCACUUGAUUAAGACUGGAGCGCAAAUGAUGUUGGGAUGAUACAAGAAGCUGAUAUUGGAGUUGGCCAAAACCCCACCUUAGCACUUGAUUAAGACUGGAGCUGUCUCUGCCAAGCUUUGCAAGAGAGAGAGCACAAAACAAUUCCACAGUUGGAAGAUAAGUUCCCAUUGGUGUACAAGAACGUCAGGUCACCAACUAGGAAGCUUAAGACUACAUACAUGGCAUUAAGGCCCAACUUGUUUAUGUAACUUAGUCAUUUGACGAUGAAGCUUUUAAGAGAAGUUAAAGUGAGACUAUUCUUGGAUCUUUUUGGCAGAAACCUCUUUUUUAGUCUCUUUUUGUUAUUUUAUCGAAUAUUUUGUUAUUUGAGCAUUUUUGAA